AUAUAUGAGUCAAGUGAUAUCUUCAUUCAAUAACCCAUGCGAUGCCAUGUCAAUUUAUUCAAAUUACAUCACUGCUCUUCGGUCAUACUUAUUAUACAACUUUUACCCUAUGAUAUCGUAUUGACUAAAAAUUUGUAUAAAAAAAAUUUGUUGUAGUACAUUUUAUUGAACUCGGUGAACAAUUCGGCAUUAUCUGAUCAUUCUCAGGGUUAUGAUUGAGAGCAUUUGUGUAGGCCAGGCCUGACCGAUAAGAUUUAAAAAGCCGAGGCCCAUUAUACUGAUUAAAAGCUAGGUUCAGGAAGUUUAUUAUGAUGUAGAAGCAUAUUUGCACAUGAAUGAUAUGGAUAGAUUCUCUCAUUUUUCGCAGGAAAAAAUGAAAAUGAAACCCAAAUUUCAAACAUUAACCUCUUUUGGUCUGCCAAUAAGUACCUGGACCCAUGCAUGAAAAUUGAGGUGCCAUGUUGGACACAUGAUUCAUUUUGGACACUGUUCAGUCGUCGGUUGGUAAUUUUUUUUUAAAAAACUAGUUACAUACUUUUAUGAAACUUGGUCAUGAAAAAAAAAUAAUCAGGACCAUAAAUCCACAUUUAGGAGUCUAUACAUAUAUAUACACACAUACACACCCACAAAUGUUCCAACCAAACAUUUUUUAUUUAUAUUAAAAUAAGGA
rnacentral:lncRNA from 1 species